AUUGAACGCUAGCGGCAUGCCUUACACAUGCAAGUCGAACGGAGUGGCGGACGGGUGAGUAAUGUAUCGGAACGUGCCUAAUAGAGGGGGAUAACUACUGGAAACAGUGGCUAAUACCGCAUACCAUUAGAUCUGCCGAUAUCGGAUUAGCUAGUUGGUGGGUUAAAGGCUCACCAAGGCAACGAUCCGUAGCUGGUCUGAGAGGAUGACCAGCCACACUGGGACUGAGACACGGCCCAGACUCCUACGGGAGGCAGCAGUGGGGAAGGUUGGACAAUGGGGGAAACCCUGAUGCAGCCAUCCCGCGUGUAUGAUGAAGGCCUUCGGGUUGUAAAGUACUUUUGGCAGGGAAGCGGUAUCUGCAGAAGAAGCACCGGCUAACUACGUGCCAGCAGCCGCGGUAAUAC
rnacentral:rRNA from 1 species